rnacentral:rRNA from 1 species
UUUAGUGGCGGAAGGGUUAGUAAUACAUGGGUAAUCUACCUUUAACUUGGGAAUAACGGCUGGAAACGGCCGUUAAUACCGAAUGAGGUGGAAUAAGGCAUCUUACUUUCAUUAAAGUGGGGGAUCGUAAGACCUUGCGGUUAGAGAGGGGCCCAUGAGAUAUCAGCUUGUUGGUGAGGUAAUGGCUCACCAAGGCUAA